GCCAGCUGGCUGGGUGUGUUAACUCCACAUCUCCACAUCUGACCUCUAUGGGAACAGAGUAGCCUCAACUCCUCUCCUGGCAGGCUGUGGGAACGAGGCACAGGUCUUCAUUUUUACCCCCCGACCUCCGGGGAACCAACCCCCGGAAAGGGCAGGACAUGACAGGACACCUUUGGCACGAAGACCCCAGAUGGAGACCUGGGCUCUGAGGAUUGCGCUGCCGACUGACUCAUGGAUCUGAGAUGGCAAAGUUGGCAGAUUUUGGUUGAUAGUCAGGAAGUCAUGCAGUUGUCAGUCAGUCAGUAGGCAGUCAGAUGGUUAGUCAGUCAGACAGUACAUUGGUCUGUAGUGUCCUUGUCAAAGGGUCAACUCUGCCACUUUGUGCAAAUUCUCAUCUGAACUCUGAGGUGACUCAGAUCUACCGACUGGCAACAGUGGACCUGUGGACACGGUCACAGGUGCUCUGCAGCUGCGUGUGGAGGAUGUUGGCGAAGAUGGCAGCGGGCAGGGAAGGGCAGAGAGGUGCGGAGUGGGUCCGGCCCCGGCCCCGGCUGUGGUGGGGAGGGUUCCUGGCACGGUGAUUUGAUGCACAAAGAGAAAGAAAAAUCACAUUGCCAGGGAUUUCCACUCCUUCACAGCUCAGCGGAUGACCCGAUUGCCUCACUAUGUUUCCACUGGCGGAUGUGUGGCUCUGAUUUCUCUAGUUAUCUGACACGGGAUGUUGCUAUGGAGUCAAAGAAAUAUAUAUAACGGUGGAGGCUAGACAGAUACAUCUCUCUCAGCAGACUUCAAGACGUCAACUUGUGGAAUUAGAUUGUCACACGUGAGACCGUCUCCCUUAAGAAAUGUCCAAAAGAACUUCAGGCUGCAGAGCCGUUAACGUGUAAAUGUGAAUAUCUGAGAGCCAUACAGAUGUACAAGUUUUACCAGAUGGAUCACUUUUCAGCUCUUGGAUUUUAGAUUUAAAAACCAAGGAGACCGUUUUCGAUUUCAUAAACGCGAGGAUCCUCGACUGGCUGCACAGCGAAACACGAUAUGAAUGAGCCCUCUUGAAACCGGAGUGAACCUCAGCAUCGCAAAGCCAAACUUUACCACUGAUCACGUAAAGGUCUGCGUGAGUCCCUGUUCCCUCAGAAAGCCAGCCACCCACUUGCUAAAGGCACAGAGCUUAGCUAAUUGGUGAGCAUUGAUCCCUGCUAUGUGUUGUUCACAGUGGCUAAGUUCAGUGCCUGAGGUGAAAUAGUUGAUUCGACGGAGCGGGAUUUGUUGCGGUGAAUGGAAUGAACCUGAUGAUCUGGGAUAUGAAGAAAGGAGGAGGAGGGAGGAGGAGAUUAGGUAGGAGCGAGCGACGCUGGGAGGUGAGAAGACAGACACACGGAGGAUCGAGGUCCUGUGUGGAAUUAAACGUGUUCUGUGGACCGAAGGCAGAUCUCGACUGUGCAACGUGGUCCAGACGUGAGGCGGGCUGUGUGUGUUUGAUUGUGUGCCUGAAGCAACAACUGUCCUAUCUUACCUUAUGCGUCUGGCAAGAAUCAUUGUGUGCGUGUUUGAAAGCGUUUCGCUGAGACAGUUUCACCAGGGUUUAUUGUGGACUUAUUAAAUGCCACGAGUUGUGCUGUGAUUUUAGGAAUGUGGUGCUAAAUGUCAAGCCUGUCCGAGCAUGCCCGGCUGAGUCAGCCCAGGGCCGGUGUGCCAGUUCUCUGGUGCCACAUGGCAGCCGGGACUUAUGUGUUGAAAGCUUGGGUGCUAUGAGAAUGUAGGCCAAUGUUAGCAGGUACAUCCCACUAUUCAUUACCCUGCGCACCGACAUAGUUGGGCAAUGAGGAUAUUGUCCCAACCUGUGUGUGUGUGUGUGUGUGUGUGUGUGUGUACAAAAUAUCUCCUGGGUGGAUUUACACCAAACCUGGCUGGGAUAUUACUGGGGAGGGUAUCAUCACAUUAUUCAAUUUUGGAGCCGAUCUGUCAAAACGGACAUCAUAAAACACAUGGUCCGCAAAAAAAAAUUCCAAGAACUCUAGAGGGCUAGAGAGACAAUAAGGUUUAUGCUGAUCAGACAAAUUUCCCCCAGCAAUUGACAUCAUGUCACAAAGAAGUCAGAUAGUGAGUCAUAUUAAACGUAUUUGAAUUAAAAAUGAUUUAUGAUCAUAUUUUAGAAAUAACUUCCUCUUGCCGUCAUCAUGAAGUUAUUAAGUGACGUCAGUUAGUUUAGUGCUACCAAUAUGAUUAGUAAGACAUGCUACAGUUUAUUCAGAAUAACUAAUCAUGUCCAAUCUGUAAUGAAUAUUAAAAGAAUCAGUCCAAUAGCCUACAUCCCAAAUGGGGUCCAGGAAAGACAGGCAGGCUAAACAGGUGUAGCAACAGUAGAAAAAUGGAGGGACAGGGGUUAAAGGACAAUUUGACCCCAACUUGUAUGUCACUGUUCUAACUCUGCUUGUUACAAUCUAAUCUUUGUUGGAUUAUAGAAAUGGCCAGGUUUCUCAGCUCGCACGCUGCCCGACCCGCGGCCCCAUGAUGUCUGGGCUGUGCCCUCCCGUGCCUACUGAACUGGUAUCAGUGUUUGAACUGAAAACUGGCUCAGUUCAGCAGGAACAGGAGUGGAGUCCUCUUACUGGCAAGCUCUGUCCCGUGUCACAUCACCAACCCGCAGUGAGCAUGCAGCAAUGCAGCCCAGCCCAGAUCUGGCAUUUUGGUGUGGCCUCGUUCCACGGACCACACCCAGAGAUGCACGGGAAGUUAGCCUCGAGGCCACUGGCCCUGGUGAAAAGUAAACGUGACCCUUACAACCUGUCGGACGACAGCACUGAACCUUGAAGCCAAUGCAAAGCAGAGCAGCUUGAGAGUAAUCACUGUCCGUGUCUUUGAUAAAACAUGAAUGUUUCAUAAGCAGAUUUACAUUUUCUUUGCGUAGUAAGUUGGCCCUGGCGUCCCGAGCUGUUGAAUACUGUCACUGACGCAGUCGAUCUUGUUGUUCUGCUCAGCCUUCAUGUUUAUUUGAGCGUUCUUCCGUCGACGAGGCUGCAAUCGCGUCUCUUACACUCUCACGCUCGUGUCUCUCUCUCUCUCUGACUCCCGUCUGUGUGUGCUGUCAAAGGCCAGGCGGAGACUGGAGUCCAUUGUGAGGUAAUUCCAGUGAAAUGUGCCUAACCCUGUGUAAUUGAUGUCGCCCAGCAGUCUCCAUUAUCUGUGAUUGGGAAUGUGCACGACGCUGCUUCCUCCCGACUCUCCAGAUAAUUUGCAGCCACCGAAGGAAAAAAGCGCUUCGUCUUGAAGAUAUUCCUACCCACAGGAAAAUGGAAGCUCGUUAGCAGAUGUGAUGAAUCUGCUCUUAUCCCGCUGCACCGCCGAUCGUGGUUGACACCAUAAGAGCUUACCAGCACUAUAGUUAGAAGGUUCUUUUUUACAUUGUGACAGUGGCGUGAUGUUGCCUUCAGGGCAUUGUUCAGCCAGGUGCUUCCACUGACAUAUUAGCUAUGAGUAAUGUAAGCACUUAAUCUAGCUAAAUGUUGCAUGAGCUUUGUUAUUGUAAAUGUCAGUAAGUUUCCAACUACUUUCCUAUCAUGAGGAGCCUGAUUUAUUUUGAUAUUGCAGGUGCAACCAAUGUUUCAUUUAAUCACUAAACUAACCACAAUCUAAUAAAAUACACUUUGAAUGAG